CGGUCGUCUCUAGCGCGCGUGCGCCCCGGCGCCCCCGGCUCCGCCUGGCGCUGGAACCGUCUGCGUUCGCACAGAGAGCGUUUGUUUCUUGGCGCCUGGGCCCCGCCUCCUGACCUCACGAGAUUGCUUUGAGAAUUAAGGGAGACGCUGUGUGUGCAGUGGUGGCCUGGGAGAAAUGGCUUUCUGAGUGGCUGUCACACGUGAACAUCCACACACCACCACAUCCAUAUCCACCCUCAAGAAGCCAACGCGAAAUCAACUAACUCCUGAGACCCUGCCCGUUUCUGGAACGGGCAGAGCUGGAGAUGGUCCUUCACCGUCAGCCUUGGGAGGAGGAUGGGCAGGGAUUCCCCACUCCCGUGAAGGCAGUGGUGGAAGCCUACUCAGGACCUCCCAGAUGGGAGAUCAGCUCUCCUGAGACGCUGCCGUCAGGGCUGAGGUGGUAGUUGGCUGGCAGUACCUCGCACACCGAUCUAAUGGCUGCAAGCUCAUACUCAACAAGCCACGUGAUGAGAAGCAGCAAGAUGUGGUAGGACAAAUGCUGACUGGAGCCUGCCUGUCUGGUCCGGACCUUGCCCAGUGACCUUGAGCAGGCACUGUCAACGGGCCUGUUUUGCAGCUUUAGCGGAUGGAGGUUGGCCUUGAAUCUCCAGGGAUGGCAAUAUCAGAAAUCCCCAGGCUUUCUCAGCACAGCACCAUGGGAGGGGGAUGGGGACUUCAGGGAAUCAGGUAAUCACAUUUGUACACCCAUUAAAAAGUUCACCUUAAUCAAGUAAAAUGCAUGAUGUUUCCAGAAGUAACGCUUUUUGACAUAAAAAAAAAAAAGGCAAGGCUAGUACCGACAUGUGGCAGUUCUGCUGCUUCUGCUCAGAGGAAUGAAGCAGGCAACCCUUAG